GUGCUCUUCCGAUCUGUUUCCCAGUCACGAUAAAACUAAAUGGAAAUGCUGAAUAAAACAAAGCCCUACAAAUUGCACCAGCUAUUUUCAUUACCACUAAGUUGAUCAAAUGUGGUCCAGUCGCACAGACAGCCAGGAUGUUUGCUUGGAAGCAGCAAUUCAUUUAAAGAGUGCGUAACAGCUCACUGGUCGAGCGACAGGGCAUAAACAAUAAACGGGCAUUAAGUGUAUCACCGAAGCUCUAGAUGCGCGCAAGCGUAUGGUAGGGGAGCAUUCUAGCAAGCUGUGAAGAAGUACCGUAAGGACUAUUGGAGCGACUAGAAAAGCAAAUGUUGGCAUAAGUAACGAUAAUGGAAGUGAAAAACUUCCACUCCGUAAAUCUAAGGUUUCCUGAUCAAUGAUAAUCAGAUCAGGGUUAGUCGGGACCUAAGGCGAGGUCGAAAGGCGUAGUCGAUGGAGACCGGGUCAACAAUCCCGGACACAAUAUGGGAGCAAAACUAGGGACGCAUGAAAGAUAGCCACGCCCUGAAUGGAUUGGGAAGACCGUUACGACGGUCGAGUGGUAAAGGAAAGUGCCAAAAAAGCUAGGGUUGUGAUGAACAUAUAGUACCCGUACCCGAAACCGACACAGGUAGGGAGGUUGAGAAUACCAAGGGGCGCGAGAUAACUCUCUCUAAGGAACUCGGCAAAAUGGCCCCGUAACUUAGGAAGAAGGGGUGCCAGCCGAAAGGCUGGUCGCAGUGAAGAGAUCCAGGCGACUGUUUACCAAAAACACAGGUCUCCGCUAACUCGAAAGAGGACGUAUGGGGGCUGACGCCUGCCCAGUGCCGGAAGGUUAAGGAAGUUGGUCAGUGGAAACAUAAAGCUGACGACCGAAGCCCCGGUGAACGGCGGCCGUAACUAUAACGGUCCUAAGGUAGCGAAAUUCCUUGUCGGGUAAGUUCCGACCCGCACGAAAGGCGUAACGAUCUGGGCGCUGUCUCAGAGAGAGACUCGGCGAAAUAGGAAUGUCUGUGAAGAUACGGACUACCUGCACCUGGACAGAAAGACCCUAUGAAGCUUUACUGUAGCCUGGAAUUGUGUUCGGGCUUGGCUUGCGCAGGAUAGGUGGGAAGCGGAGAACUUCUCCUUGAGGGGGGAAGGGAGCUAACGGUGAGAUACCACUCUGGCGAAGCUAGAAUUCUAACUCAUCACCGUAAGCCGGUGAGAGGAAAGUUUCAGGUGGGCAGUUUGACUGGGGCGGUCGCCUCCUAAAAGGUAACGGAGGCGCGCAAAGGUUCUCUCAGCACGCUUGGAAACCGUGCGACGAGUGUAAAGGCAAGAAGAGAGCUUGACUGCAAGACCAACAAGUCGAGCAGGGACGAAAGUCGGCCUUAGUGAUCCGACGGCGCAGCAUGGAAUGGCCGUCGCUCAACGGAUAAAAGUUACUCUAGGGAUAACAGGCUGAUCCCCCCCAAGAGUCCACAUCGACGGGGAGGUUUGGCACCUCGAUGUCGGCUCAUCGCAACCUGGGGCGGAAGUACGUCCCAAGGGUUGGGCUGUUCGCCCAUUAAUGCAGGCUAUCGUGACUGGGAAAC
rnacentral:rRNA from 1 species